GAUGAAGAACGUAGUGAAAUGCGAUACGUAAUGUGAAUUGCAGAAUUCAGUGAAUCAUCGAGUCUUUGAACGCACAUUGCGCCCCCUGGUAUUCCGGGGGGCAUGCCUGUCCGAGCGUCAUUGCUGCCCUCAAGCACGGCUUGUGUGUUGGGCCUCCGCCCCCCGGCUCCCGGGGGGCGGGCCCGAAAGGCAGCGGCGGCACCGCGUCCGGUCCUCGAGCGUAUGGGGCUUCGUCACCCGCUCCGUAGGCCCGGCCGGCGCCCACCGGCGACCCCCCUCAAUCUUUCCAGGUUGACCUCGGAUCAGGUAGGGAUACCCGCUGAACUUAAGCAUAUCAAUAAGCGGAGGA
rnacentral:misc_RNA from 1 species